GUAAAAGUGACAUUCUCCUUUAUAUGCCUUUUCUACCCUUAGGAAUAUAAAGGAGAAUGUCACUUUACU
rnacentral:pre_miRNA from 1 species